GACGAACGCUGGCGGCGUGCUUAACACAUGCAAGUCGAACGGAAAGGCCCUGCUUUUGUGGGGUGCUCGAGUGGCGAACGGGUGAGUAACACGUGAGUAACCUGCCCUUGACUUUGGGAUAACUUCAGGAAACUGGGGCUAAUACCGGAUAGGAGCUCCUGCUGCAUGGUGGGGGUUGGAAAGUUUCGGCGGUUGGGGAUGGACUCGCGGCUUAUCAGCUUGUUGGUGGGGUAGUGGCUUACCAAGGCUUUGACGGGUAGCCGGCCUGAGAGGGUGACCGGCCACAUUGGGACUGAGAUACGGCCCAGACUCCUACGGGAGGCAGCAGUGGGGAAUAUUGCACAAUGGGCGGAAGCCUGAUGCAGCAACGCCGCGUGCGGGAUGACGGCCUUCGGGUUGUAAACCGCUUUCGCUUGUGACGAAGCGUGAGUGACAGUAAUGGGUAAAGAAGCACCGGCUAACUACGUG
rnacentral:rRNA from 1 species